GAUGAACGCUGGCGGCGUGCCUAAUACAUGCAAGUCGAGCGAACGGACGAGAAGCUUGCUUCUCUGAUGUUAGCGGCGGACGGGUGAGUAACACGUGGAUAACCUACCUAUAAGACUGGGAUAACUUCGGGAAACCGGAGCUAAUACCGGAUAAUAUUUUGAACCGCAUGGUUCAAAAGUGAAAGACGGUCUUGCUGUCACUUAUAGAUGGAUCCGCGCUGCAUUAGCUAGUUGGUAAGGUAACGGCUUACCAAGGCAACGAUGCAUAGCCGACCUGAGAGGGUGAUCGGCCACACUGGAACUGGGACACGGUCCAGACUCCUACGGGAGGCAGCAGUAGGGAACCUUCCGCAAUGGGCGAAAGCCUGACGGAGCAACGCCGCGUGAGUGAUGAAGGUCUUCGGAUCGUAAAACUCUGUUAUUAGGGAAGAACAUAUGUGUAAGUAACUGUGCACAUCUUGACGGUACCUAAUCAGAAAGCCACGGCUAACUACGUG
rnacentral:rRNA from 1 species